CGCUUUAUUAUGUGGUUCAGUCUUAAGCAUCCAGGAAACGCACGCAGUUACACGUAGUUUUUAGUGACCUAAAACUCUUGUCUGGAUGCCUCCUCCUCUUCGGAGAACGCACGUUCUGAUGUCCUACCACCCUGGAACGUUAAGUGCCCACGACAAAUAACAGAAAAGGCAAAGUUCGUGACAAAACCUCAGGGAGUCCGUCUCCUCUCUACCAAACCACCGAAGAUGACAAACUUCGAAAGACAACUCAACCCUCACAGAACAGCACAGGAGCCCCUGGGCUGUGUCUGCGGCCCCGAGGUGGCCCCGAACUGCUCCCGGAGACGCGUUCCCACGGGUCACAGGGCACAGCAUUUCUGAGGACCUUUACCGCAUCCCCCUCCAUCUCUGAACGAGGCUCGCUGCAGCUUGAUCCUCUUGCCCGGCUCGAUCUCCAGCAGGCGGGAGAAGAAGUCCACGCCGACCGUGGGGUCGCAGGCGGGGGAGCGCAGCCCCGGGAAGCGGCCCUGCGUGAAGCGGUGCAGGAGGCACGACUUGCCCACCGUCGAGUCCCCGAUCACGAUGAGGCGGAACUGGUAGAUCCAGAUGGUCUCCAUGGCUCACGUGCCCCCGCGGGCCGCCCCGCCCGCGCGCCCUCCAGCCGCCUGGCAAGUUUGGCGGCGGGAACUGUCCCUUCAGCACCGCCCGGGAACCCGCCCGCCGGCUUCCAGCAUAUUCCUGCGACUGCAGCCGCCGCCUGGUCCCCGCCCUCUCAGGAGGGAGGGGCGGGGCCCGGCCGGCAGGGGCGGGGCCUCGGGCCAGGGGGCGGGGCUCGAGGGAGGGGUAGCGGGCUGACUGUGCGCGACUCCUGCCCCCACCUUCGGUAAAUCUCUCUACCCCAAAUCUCACUGGGCGCCGCCGGGAAGGUGGGUGUGGCGAGAGGACGUGACGGCAGCGGCAGCCAAUGAAAAUGAAGCAAAGGCUCCCCCUCCUCGAGAGUCAGCCAAUGAAAAGUGAGAAUCUUUUUCUUACGGGCGUGGGGGCGGGCUUGUCAGAGCUAGGGUGGGCUUCUGCGAAUGGGUCGCUUCUGGGGCGUCUUCCUUCCCAUGAAGGCCCUGCCGGUUCCCACGCGCCUGAAGGUGCCCGCCGACGGCGUCCUGCAGUCUAGCUUUGCUCCACGCCGCCUCCCAUGCGCACUAGGGCGAAGGAGUUGAGAACAGAAUGAAAAUAAAUUUGCAGAGCAAGGUCUGGAUGCUUCUAGCAAGUGCUUGGCCAGUGCUCCUGCCACCGACCUUGGAGCGGCCAAAACCCAGGGUUGGCAAGACGAGGGAGAAGAAGCAGUAGACGGGGUGGAGGGCGGAUGCUGCCUUUCUCUUCUUCCAAGAGCCGGCUUCUGGCUGCAACAGGCCAGACUGGGGGAUCCGGGACUGGAGAUUUUUAUUAUCGAAUUGAAUGUGUGUUGUGUGACCUGAAGA